rnacentral:rRNA from 1 species
UACAGAGGGUGCGAGCGUUAAUCGGAAUUACUGGGCGUAAAGCGUGCGUAGACGGUUAUUUAAGUCGGAUGUGAAAGCCCCGGGCUCAACCUGGGAAUUGCAUUCGAGACUGAAUAGCUAGGGUGCGGUAGAGGGAAGCGGAAUUUCCGGUGUAGCGGUGAAAUGCGUAGAUAUCAAGUGGAACACCAGUGGCGAAGGCGAAUCCCUGGAAAAUACCUGACACUGAGGCACGAAAGCUAGGGGAGCAAACAGG